UAUAUUUUCUCUUGCGAGUCGCACGUAGCUGAUUUUUUCGAUCGACCUAAAAAGCGAAAAUUCGCAGGCAACCGACACACUUUUGAACAAGACAAGUCGUUUACAUCGGCGUCAGCGACGAAACUUCGUCAAAAUAAAAAUUUUGAAGUGAACGUUGAACAGACUGUUUUGUAUUGUAUUUUGAAUUUUGUGAGUGUAUUUUCAACCAUUUCUUCGGCUGUUAUUUGUAAAGAGUGCAAAAGUACGGUGACUUUCCAUCAACGUGAUAUACGAGGAUUGGGCUUUAAAAUUUCUAUGGCGUGCAAGUGUGAGAAAGAAAAAGAAAUAGAUUCAUGCCCAAAAAUCUGGACUUUUGCUCCGAAGCACCUCCAUUCUGGGCCAAAAGUGGUUGAAAUCGCCACGUUUCUCGCUGUCAUAAUCUUCAACGAAGGAUUCGAAGCUAUCCUGAAGACCUUGGAAACCAUGGGAGUGAAAAUCGGCCCACAAGCUAAAGGAUAUGUUCAACAGCGUGAUAGCUCUCGGAUCGACCGUUCAGAAAGGCGCACGAGCGAUGUUGUAGAACAGGCCCGAAUCGCGAAAAGAGAAGACAGAGCAGCUCUGCGUGACUUCGAAGAAGAAGAGGAAGGCCUAUUGUAUGGUCCAGGCAUGGCAGAUUGACGAUAAGCAGAACAGCCACAAUCUUGGUUACCGUCAAGCACCUCUUUUACUUGAUGUCUUCCUGUCGGCCACUAUAACUGCUAUUCUAUUAUAUAUUUUGACUUCAAAAAAUUUGUAAAGCUUAUUUAAAUGUUAAUAAAGAUUAUGCAAAAAUAA